rnacentral:rRNA from 1 species
GAUGAACGCUGGCGGCGUGCCUAAUACAUGCAAGUCGAGCGAACGGACGAGAAGCUUGCUUCUCUGAUGUUAGCGGCGGACGGGUGAGUAACACGUGGAUAACCUACCUAUAAGACUGGGAUAACUUCGGGAAACCGGAGCUAAUACCGGAUAAUAUUUUGAACCGCAUGGUUCAAAAGUGAAAGACGGUCUUGCUGUCACUUAUAGAUGGAUCCGCGCUGCAUUAGCUAGUUGGUAAGGUAACGGCUUACCAAGGCAACGAUGCAUAGCCGACCUGAGAGGGUGAGCGGGCACACUGGAACUGAGACACGGUCCAGACUCCUACGGGAGGCAGCAGUAGGGAAUCUUCCGCAAUGGGCGAAAGCCUGACGGAGGAACGCCGCGUGAGUGAAGAAGGUCUUCGGAUCGUAAAACUCUGUUAUUAGGGAAGAACAUAUGUGUAAGUAACUGUGCACAUCUUGACGGUACCUAAUCAGAAAGCCACGGCUAACUACGUG